CUAUCAGAAUGAAUCUUUAACACCUUUUUAAUGUUCAAAAUAUGACUUUUGCUCUUGAGGGUUUGCCAAAUUGUUGGUUAGUAGUUUAAUUUCUUGUGGAAAAAUGGCUAAAGGGUUAACUUUGAAUGAAACAGUCUCAAGACCAUUUUAUCAAUAUGUUAUACUAAAAAAGGCUCUAAAGGAUUGAAUUUCAUCCAGAUGUUUAGCAUAAGUAAUAGCCACCAUUUGAGUGCAAACUGCAACCAACAAGCUAUGGGUAGAGAGGGGUUAACUGCAAAAACACUGGAAAUCCUAGUGUGAUAUGUGUAGGGGGGAGUAUCUGCAGUAUAGUAACUAGGAGGUGCAGACUGCAAAGAUGUUGCCUGGUAUAUUCUGCAGUAAAACUACAAGAACAAUGGAAAGCCUAGUGUUAUGGUAUGUGCAGGCGGGAGUAUCUGCAGUAUAGUAACUAGGAGGUACAAACUGCAAGAUGUUGCUUGGUAGAUUCUGCAGGAACUGGCUUAAUAACCCACAAGCUAUGGGUAGAGGGGUUAACUACCAAAACACUGGAAAUCCUAGUGUUAU